rnacentral:rRNA from 1 species
AUACGUAGGGGGCGAGCGUUGUCCGAAUUUACUGGGCGUAAAGCGCGCGUAGGCGGGUUUUUAAGUUGGUGGUGAAAUCCCGAGGCUCAACCUCGGAACUGCCUCCAAAACUGGGAACCUUGAGGUUUGGAGAGGGAAGUGGAAUUCCAGGUGUAGCGGUGAAAUGCGUAGAUAUCUGGAGGAACACCCGUGGCGAAGGCGGCUUCCUGGCCAUAUCCUGACGCUGAGGUGCGAAAGCUAGGGGAGCGAACGGGAUUAGAUACCCCGGUAGUCCUAGCCGUAAACGAUGGAUACUAGGUGUUAGAGGUAUCGACCCCUCUAGUGCCGAAGCUAACGCAUUAAGUAUCCCGCCUGGGGAGUACGACCGCAAGGUUGAA